rnacentral:lncRNA from 1 species
UCCGACAAUGGAUCCAGGCACCCCCGGUCAGAUCGCGCCCCAAGUACCCGUGCAGGCGCCGCCAAGUUCGUGGUUCGCCGCCCCUCUGUCCCCCUCUUCCACCUCCCAUCCUCCAUUGCUGGAGCAGCACGGCCCAUGGGCGUGCACUGCAUUGUGACUCCUCAUGCAGUGCAGAUUGGGCAUCAGGUAGGAUUGCUGUUCGUUGUGGUGGCUACAUGCCACAGUGAUUUUUUUAGUCAUUUUGUAUUUCACUCGCUUGGGUGCAGCUCACGGGUGCAUCGUGUGCAGCUCGCUGGAUCGAUCUGGAGGUUCCCAUGGGCCUCCUCUCCCAACUGCAUCGCCCUUCCCCGCGGCCUACUGCAAGCAUGGCGAGUAGAGCAUCAGCAGAUGCAUAGUGCUCUUCUGCACUUCAUUGAUUUUUGUGCUUUUCUGAACAGAAAAAAGUGAAAAAUGAAGUCCGCUGUGGUUUGCUAUUGAGGUUCAGUUUACUUAUUUUUGCAUUAAAGGUGAAGUGAUGCAGUUCGGCUGGAUGGCCCGUUCCUCAAUUUUGUUGUUGUUGAAAACUGCACUUCAUUAGUUCAUUUUAAAAACUGCACUUCAUUACCAUGAUGGUUAGUUUUGUCUUAGUGAAAGUGUACCCCGUAGAAUUUUGUGCCGUUCGGCCGGUGGAGAGUGCAGAUAUUGUAUGGGUGUGUGGCUGUGUAAAACUAUCAGAAGUUGUGUAUGCUUUGUAGCUCACUUUGUUCUCUUGUGUUGUUCGCUAUAUAACUUUUCCCUAGUCCACUUGGCAAACACAAACAAGAACAUCUCAAAAGCAGCUCCCUUC